CUACUGAAGUUGAGAUGCACCUCUUUGGUGUCAACUGCUUUGCCUGUUUCUGUUUCAACAUGUGUUGUGUUUGUCCAUAUGUGUUUUCCAUGGAUCUGAUAUUACAUAAUCAUUUUUAUUGCCCACAGUUCUGUUUACCACCUAAGCCAGAGUUCUACAAGUGUGGCGAGCCAACAUCCUUUGCAAGCAAGAAUCUGCCUCAGGAUCUAAAUAUUGCCACCCUCUGUUCAUCGCCAAAGUAGCAUAAUCACAUUGGAAGGCUUCCCCAUACUGUAGAUCCUCAGGGAUCUCACUCCUUAUCGGAGGAGGCCAGCACGAUGUGUCUUAGAAGGGAAGAUGUUCCACACACUAUUCUCCACUUGGAUUCCGUAAGGGCUUUCUGCUGAUGAACAGAAUAGAAUCAC